UCAAUAAGCUACAUUAUCUGGGGAAGGAAAAAAGCAUUUUCUCUAAUGACAGCCAUUCAAAAUGAGCUAUGUAAUCUGAUGAAAUACAGUUCCAAGGUCUGAGAAAUGCUAGAUGUUUUGAUUUUUCAACAUCAACUGUUCAACUUAUUUCAAUUACACAAUGAAGAUUUUAAACCCGGAGGACAACAUGGGACAAACAGCAUAUAAAAUAAAAGCAAAGAAAGCUGGGAAGGCAUAUUGAACAGCAGUGGAAAAGGAGGUGUUUACAAGGCUCCCCAAAUGUAAAGAGAAAUUUUAAUGUUUUUGAUUGUUCUUCCAUUUUCAAGUUUUUUUUUUUUUUUUUUUUUUUAAUGAAAGCUAUGUGACAUAAAGUUGUUGGAUUUAACUUUUUUGUUUCCUUACAUUCCCCCCCCCCCCCCCCCCCCCCCCAUAUUUGUGUUUAAGGUAGUGAAAUAUAGUCUAUCGUGCAGCAGAGGGCAGAGUGAUGCAGAGAAUUGUUGUUGAAUGAAAAGCAGCACUGACCUAGGUAAUGAUUUUACCCUGUUUGUGUCAUUAAACAGCCUUAUAUGCUGACAUAAACAAAGACACUGGUCAAGGGGUCAAGGUUUGGCUGGUUAACAUGUCUCUGUUAGCUCCUGCAGUUAGAUGUUCUAAGUACAUGAUCUGGGGGCAAAAAACAAAUGUCUUUCUCAAGCAAGAUUCUUUGUAAACCACACACACACAAACACACACACACACACACACACACACACACACACAUAUACACAUGUAGCGUAAGCAUUUUGAACUGCAAGAGUUUUACACUUUCUUCAUACGUUGAAUACGGAAGGCGGUCUGGCGGAAGCUAGAUAUUUUACUUCAUAACUUGUUAAAUAUGGAUAUUUUUUUUACACAAACGCAUCGCUUCACUUCAGAAGGCCUUUAUUAACCCCCCGGAGCCGUGUGGAGUAUGUUUAUGAUGGAUGGAUGCACUUUCUUUAGCUCAUACUCGUUGGUAUCGUUCACUGCCAUUAUAAAGCUCGGAUGCGUCAGGAUAUUUAUUAAUAAGCCGUACACACCUAGGAUGACUUGAGGGUUGAACCCAAGGAGAUCUACAAUACCUGGAGAGAGCUGUCAGUUAGCAUUCCCAUUGAUCUUCUGCAUUUCUCGGCAGGAUUCUCUGCCGUCGUUGCUCCUGGGCUCAGUCCUGGAUACAGAACAGACCUGUGAGCCAUUUUUGGGUUGUGACCCUCCAGAGAACCACCGCUCUCCACCACAAGUGUCGGAACGGUUAGGAUUUAGCAGAAGAUCUCUGAAAACAACAAAGUGAGAAAUGUGUCCUUCAUAAGGUCUUUUACUCACACAGAGCUACAGCUUGAGAAGACUUGGAAUACAGUGCACAAGUUAUAUACUUGUUUCGUUUUUUUUUUUUUUUUAUAGCUAUUUUCACAACUUGGCAGUCACCAUUUAUGAAGUACAUUUUGACAGAAUUAAAACUUUCCUCUGAAUGGUUUCUUUAGCUGUGCAUUGUGCAAUAGAAGCAUUCCAUUAAACAUAGAGUUUUAAUUUUAAACACAUUCAGCUGGUGUAAUGUAGAAGUAAAAAACAUGCUCAGACAGAUUGGGGAGGGAGGGAGUCGGGUUACAGUGUGUAAAUUUGUCUGCCAUUAAGUAGGCGUGCAGCGCAAGUGCGGCUCAGGCGAGAUUAAACCAGAUUUAGGGGACUGCAGCACCUCUCAUGUGGGUCAUUUGCCAAGUGAAGCUGCCCUACAGACAUGUGUCAGAAAUCAAACAGUGUUAGACUACAUUAAUGGAUUUCACAGUAGUCUAUACAAAUCUGUCAAUAAUCUUUAUAGGAUUAGUUCACUCCAAAAUGAAAAUUUUACAUUCCAAAACUGUUUGACUGUUUCUAUUUUCAUGUAAAAGUUCUGAAUAAUGUUCGCUCUUUUUCAUGCAAACGAAGCAGAAGCAACAUAAAAGUGGUCCAAUUGGUGUGAUAUACAUUUAUAUUCAAGUCAUAUAUUACUGUAGUUUUGUGUGUGGAACUGACUGAAAUUUUUACUAAAAACAUGUCGUAUUUACUAAAGACAUGCCGUAAAAAAAUUA